AGCGAACGCUGGCGGCAGGCCUAACACAUGCAAGUCGAACGAACCUUUCGGGGUUAGUGGCGGACGGGUGAGUAACCCGUGGGAACGUGCCUUUAUGUUCGGAAUAACUCAGGGACACUUGUGCUAAUACCGAAUGUGCCCUUCGGGGGAAAGAUUAAUCGCCGUUAGAGCGGCCCGCGUCUGAUUAGCUAGUUGGUUGAGGUAAUGGCUCACCAAGGCGACGAUCAGUAGCUGGUCUGAGAGGAUGAUCAGACACAUUGGGACUGAGACGCGGCCGAAACUCCUACGGGAGGCAGCAGUGGGGAAUCGUGCGAAAUGGGCGAAAGCCUGACGCAGCCAGGCCGCGUGAAUGAUGAAGGUCUUAGGAUUGUAAAAUUCUUUCACCGGGGACGAUAAUGACGGUACCCGGAGAAGAAGCCCCGGCUAACUUCGUG
rnacentral:rRNA from 1 species